GUAGGGAAUAUUGGACAAUGGGGGGAACCCUGAUCCAGCCAUGCCGCGUGGAGGAAGACUGCCCUCUGGGUUGUAAACUCCUUUUAUAUAGGAAGAACCGUCCUCAUUAAUGAGUGACCUGACGGUACCAUAGGAAUAAGCACCGGCUAACUCCGUGCCAGCAGCCGCGGUAAUACGGAGGGUGCAAGCGUUAUCCGGAUUCACUGGGUUUAAAGGGUGCGUAGGCGGAUAAAUAAGUCAGUGGUGAAAUCAACGGGCUCAACCUGUUAACUGCCAUUGAUACUGUGUAUCUUGAAUAUGAGAGAGGUAGGCGGAAUGUUGCAUGUAGCGGUGAAAUGCUUAGAUAUGCUACGGAACACCGAUUGCGAAGGCAGCUUACUAUUUCGUAAUUGACGCUGAGGCACGAAAGCGUGGGUAGCGAACAGGAUUAGAAACCCGAGUAGUCC
rnacentral:rRNA from 1 species